GGCUUGUUGAUUAUAAUUUCAAGUCUGGCCUGCCCAUUGAUAUUUUUAACGGCCGCGGUAUAUUGACCGUGCAAAGGUAGCAUAAUCAUUAGUUUUUUAAUUGAAAGCUUGAAUGAAAGGUUUAAUGAAAAAAAAGCUGUCUCUUUAAAAAUUUAAUAGAAUUUUAUUUUUAAGUGAAAAAGCUUAAAUUUAUGUAGAAGACGAGAAGACCCUAUAGAGUUUUAUAGUUAGGUGAUGAGUAUAUUCAAGGAAUUUAAAAUUUAUUAAUUGUUUAAUUAUUAUAUUGGGGUGAUAAAAAAAUUUAAAAAACUUUUUUUUAUUAUUACAUUGAUUUAUGAGUAGGUGAUCUUGAAAUUUGGAUUAUAAGAUUAAAUUACCUUAGGGAUAACAGCGUAAUUUUUUUUAGAGUUCUUAUCGAAAAAAAAGUUUGCGACCUCGAUGUUGGAUUAAAAUUUAUUGUUGGUGGAGAAAUUUGCAAAUUAGGUCUGUUCGACCUUUAAAAUUUUACAUGAUCUGAGUUUAAACCGGUGUAAA
rnacentral:rRNA from 1 species